CUUUAUGGCCAAACCAUUUUGAGAAUGCCCAAUCUCCUCUGAUGUUGAAAGCUAAUCGAUGCCGAGGCUGGUUAAUACUUGGAUGCGAGUCCUCUGCAGUAUUUAGUGCAUACUGA
rnacentral:rRNA from 1 species